AUGAACCGACCACGAAGGAACUCAGCAGACAGGAGGCAAUGCUGGAUGGCAUCAGCCAGCCAGCGAGAUUGUUUUGAGGGCUCUCGCCUUGUGGUGUUCCGGGGGACCAGGGGAGGUCGUUCCGGAGCGAGCGGACGAGAGGAGGAGCCCCAGAGGUCCCCUCCACCUACCCAGCUGCCAACGAUCCCUGAGGGUCGUGUCCUGGCCGUGGCAACCCUGGGGGAUCAGGCAAGCCCCUCCCAGAGUCCUGUGGUGCCCUCCACAGCCAGCAGUCUCCCCAUGAAACGAGGGAGACGGUUUUCAUGGGAGUCAACUUCUGAGUCUUCGGCGUCCGAGACUGCCCUGCCCGAGACCAAACUCCCCCAACCCGCCUCUGACCCAGCUGUGGCCUCUGCACCGCGCCCAAGGAGGAAGAGGAGGAAGAGGGGGCCUGCCGGUCCUGUGACCCUGUCUCCCCCCGUGCCAGCAGCAGAGAGCGCUGGCGUGCCCGACCCAGCAGCGGUGAGCGUGCCCGAGCCAGCAGCGGAGAGAGCUGGCGUGCCCGUGCCAGCAGCAGUGAGAGCUGGCGUGCCCGUGCCAGCAGCGGUGAGCGCUGGCGUGCCCGUGCCAGCAGCGGAGAGAGCUGGCGUGCCCGUGCCAGCAGCGGUGAGCGCUGGCGUGCCCGUGCCAGCAGCGGUGAGCGCUGGCGUGCCCGUGCCAGCAGCGGAGAGAGCUGGCGUGCCCGUGCCAGCAGCGGAGAGAGCUGGCGUGCCCGUGCCAGCAGCGGUGAGCGCUGGCGUGCCCGAGCCAGCAGCGGUGAGCGCUGGCGUGCCCGAGCCGGCAAAGAAGAGGGCAGUAUGCAAGUCGGCAGUCGUGAGAGCGCAGGAGAGUGCCGCGGCCGACUCUGCAGCAAGGACUUUAGUACAGUGUGUCUCAUCUCGUAAGGAGAUGCCAAUUGUCUUAGCGGCUAAAGCCUUUUCAGAUUAUUUGUCUAGUCUUGUCCGUAUCCUAGAAGUCCCCGUCAGUCCUGUCUUGUCCUCAGACCCUGUCCCCAGAAAUCCCGAGUGUCCUGAUGUCGUCUCCCCGUGUCCCGUAGAUGUCGUCUCCCCGUGUCCCGUGAGUGUUGCCCCGUGUCCUGCUGAUGAAGUCAUGUAUCCUGUUGAUGUGGCCCCGUCUCCCGUAGAUGUCCCGUGUCCUGUUGUCCCCCCGUGUCCAGUAGAUGUUGCCCCGUGUCCCGUAGAUGUCCCGUGUCCAGUAGAUGUUGUCGUCCCGUGUCCAGUAGAUGUUGUCCCCCCGUGUCCAGCUGUCGUCUCCCCGCGUCCCGUAAGUCUUGCCCCGCGUCCCGUAAGUGUUGCCCCGCGUCCCUUGUCUGCUCCUAUCAUGUCCCCUGUCAGUUGUCCCGAGACCCCUCCCCGCCCCUCACCACCCAGACCUGCCCAUACCCCCCGUCGUCAGCCUUCGUCCUGUCCUCCUAAAACUCCUGCCCCACCCACUCACCCUGGUCUGUCCCCCAUGAACUUUGUGGUCCCGCCUCCUCCCCUUCCCUGUUUGUUUAUUUUGAUUUGUCACCCUAACCCUGCCGCCGUGUAUUCAUGUCUGCCUUUGUUAUUAUUUGUCAUGUCUUGUUGGUUUGUGUCGGUGUCCCAGUCCGUCAUGUCAGUCAUGUCUCGUGUUUGA
ensembl:lncRNA